CUACGGGUCGCAGCAGUGGGGAAUAUUGCACAAUGGAGGAAACUCUGAUGCAGCAACGCCGCGUGGAGGAUGACACUUUUCGGAGCGUAAACUCCUUUUAUAUAGGAAGAAGAUGACGGUACUAUAUGAAUAAGCGCCGGCUAACUCCGUGCCAGCAGCCGCGGUAAUACGGAGGGCGCAAGCGUUACUCGGAAUCACUGGGCGUAAAGAGCGUGUAGGCGGAUUAAAAAGUCAGAAGUGAAAUCCUAUAGCUUAACUAUAGAACUGCUUCUGAAACUCUUAAUCUAGACAUAUGGGAGAGGUAGAUGGAAUUUCUGGUGUAGGGGUAAUAUCCGUAGAGAUCAGAAGGAAUACCGAUUGCGAAGGCGAUCUACUAGAACAUUAUUGACGCUGAGACGCGAAAGCGUGGGGAGCAAACAGGAUUAGAUACCCCAGUAGUC
rnacentral:rRNA from 1 species